UUGGAACAUGGAACAUGAGAAAUAAGAAUCAAGCAGAGAAUUUCUUAAUGACUCUCUUGAUGCCAUUUGUCGGUUGUUGUUCGCAUUGCCCCUGGUGCUACCAACUAGGAUUUGAAAGCUGUGAAGAGUGUAGAUUCAGGGGAGAAAAGUAGUAAUUUUUUACCAUCCACAUGAUGCUGUUGGGAAUCCUACCAGCUAAAGAGUUCAGAAGGGACACAUGGCCAGUG